UUGGUAACAAAAAAGAUCCCCAGAUGCGAGGACGUCAUGGCGUGUGCAAUGACACAAUGCGUUGUAGGUGUUGAACUGGGAUAAUUCUAUCAAUGAAUUGACGUGUGCUGCAUGUUCCCUUGUGCGAGAAAUCCGGACCUGCAAAGCGAUAAGCAGAUAGUGUAAAGAGCCGACUCACGCCAACAGAUAGCGAGGGAACAAGUCGUGAGAGACGGGUAGCUGAGAGAGACAGAGAGACAGAGAGAGGUAGAUAGAGAGAGAGAGCUGACCAACGAGCGGCACAGUAGCGUAGAAUCAGAGUGUCAUUAGCAACGAGGCGAUUCUACAUCAGGAGCUGCUUAGCCAUCCAACGAACCUUUGAUCAGUUCUCAUCGCACCCUCUCCUAGGCUGUGCAACAUCGGAACAUCGCACACUCUAAGGCUGCAACAUCUGGACAAAGGACUCUAGCUUACGACUAGAUUCGCUGAGCCUCCAAAAUGAUGCAUGACCUGGUGCGUGCAGUUGGUGGAACGAUGGCACCUCCUCGCUGUCUAUCGCUACUUGUCGUCAGUACUCUGAUCAGCGCCUGCUCAGCGGCUGCAUUAGAGUUGGAAAGUGCCGAGGAGAGGGAGUGGAUUCAACAGAAGAACACCAUCUUUUAUUACGGCAUUGGCGGUAGCCAUUUGUUCAAUUUUCUAUUCGCGCUGUCGUUUUCCUGCUGCAAUAUUCUGGCGAUACGCAGUUGGUGCUUACUACUUCCAAUUCUCAUUUGGGUGGCUGGGCAUGGAGCUAUUCACUGGCAUACUGAAAUCAAACCAGAGUUGGAAUAUCAGAUUGCGCACGCAGUCGGCCACGUGGUCUACUUUGCACUGGCAGUAUUGCUGCGAAAGCGCUGUGACCCUAACCCUAAGGAACCAUAGCAACACUUCGGAAUCACAGCAACUACAUGUACAUUUGCUGCAAUACUAGUACAUAAUGGCGUAGUAUAAUUAUAGUAGCCUCUGUUUUCAUCAUAAUUAUUAUUUAUUAUGAAACUGUAUUUCACUCACUUACACGUACCUUGGUUACCCUGUAAACGA